rnacentral:rRNA from 1 species
CAGCAGUCGCCGCGGUAAUACGAAGGGUGCAAGCGUUACUCGGAAUUACUGGGCGUAAAGCGUGCGUAGGUGGUGGUUUAAGUCCGUUGUGAAAGCCCUGGGCUCAACCUGGGAAUUGCAGUGGAUACUGGGUCACUAGAGUGUGGUAGAGGAUAGUGGAAUUUCCGGUGUAGCAGUGAAAUGCGUAGAGAUCGGAAGGAACAUCUGUGGCGAAGGCGACUAUCUGGGCCAACACUGACACUGAGGCACGAAAGCGUGGGGAGCAAACAGGAUUAGAUACCCGAGUAGUCCCUGUCUCUUAUAC